GAUGAACGCUAGCGGCAGGCCUAACACAUGCAAGUCGAACGGUAACAGGGAAGAGCUUGCUCUUCUGCUGACGAGUGGCGCACGGGUGCGUAACGCGUAUACAAUCUACCUUUUACAGGGGGAUAGCCUUUGGAAACGAAGAAUAAUACCCCAUAGUAAGUGACUGUGGCAUCACAGAGACUUUAAAGAUUCGUCGGUAAAAGAUGAGUAUGCGUUCUAUUAGCUAGAUGGUGUGGUAACGGCACACCAUGGCAACGAUAGAUAGGGGCCCUGAGAGGGGGAUCCCCCACACUGGUACUGAGACACGGACCAG
rnacentral:rRNA from 1 species